rnacentral:lncRNA from 1 species
AUAUUCUUGGGCUUUAAACCAAACUGUCGUUGAACCAUAUUAGUAACUUGACUCAUCAACUGAUCUAUCUAGAACUGGGCCCCUUGCUGAUUGUUUGGCUCUAGAUAUCUUUGAUUCUGCAUUCUUUUAUUAUUUUGCUAAUAUUCAGGAUUUUCACAACCAUUAAGAGUAUAAUGCUCAGAAACAUAAGGAUAGCCGAGAGGUACCACUCUAGGUGCUAAUCUUCCUUGAUAUGGUGGAGCGUUG